UACGUAGGGUGCGAGCGUUAAUCGGAAUUACUGGGCGUAAAGCGUGCGCAGGCGGUUUUGUAAGCCAGAUGUGAAAUCCCCGGGCUUAACCUGGGAAUGGCAUUUGGGACUGCAAGGCUUGAGUGCGGCAGAGGAGACUGGAAUUUACGGUGUAGCGGUGAAAUGCGUAGAUAUCGUAAGGAAGACCAGUGGCGAAGGCGGGUCUCUGGACAGUUCCUGACGCUGAGGCACGAAGGUCAGGGGAGCAAACGGG
rnacentral:rRNA from 1 species